AAAAAACUAUAGAAACAGAGUUAGGGGUCCUCGGCGGGGCGCCCUGUUACGGCCGUCUGUUCCCCCAGGCAACUCUUAGUAUGUUCACAGGUUGUGAGUUGUAUAACUCGGUAAUGAUUCUCGUUGGGGGUACCAGCGGAGGGAUCAUUA
rnacentral:rRNA from 1 species